rnacentral:rRNA from 1 species
UACGUAGGGCGCAAGCGUUGUCCGGAAUUAUUGGGCGUAAAGAGCUCGUAGGCGGCUUGUCACGUCGGAUGUGAAAGCCCGGGGCUUAACCCCGGGUCUGCAUUCGAUACGGGCAGGCUAGAGUUCGGUAGGGGAGAUCGGAAUUCCCGGUGUAGCGGUGAAAUGCGCAGAUGUCGGGAGGAACACCUAUGGCGAAGGCAGCUCGCUGGGACGUUACUGACGCUGAGACGCGAAAGCGUGGGGAGCAAACAGG